UUUCCCAGAAUGUCUCUUUUGUGCCAAGUGUGUAAGUUAUAUGAUAACUCAGAACAACAGGCAGAUACAGUAUGGCAAAAAACUUUUUCAUAGAAACAUCUUAACAGAAUUGACCUACUCCAGGAAGUUAUUUCAAGGCAGGCACAACGAACUUUUUCGGAAUGAAUAAGAGAAAUCUAAGCAAGUUUUUAAUUUCUCUGUGGGAGUUCAGCUAGAACAUAAAACUACUUUGACUAUUCCUGAGGAUUUUUGUCAAUAAAUCUAUGGACUUUCCACUCCACUUCAUUUUCCAGCUCUUGAUACUUCCCAUCUGUGCACUAGAAUCAGAACCUGCACAUGGGAUAAAGUAUAAAAAGAACGAGACUGCCAUAUUGGGAGAAAAUGUGACUAUUUUCUGCAAUUUGACAACGCCAGCAAAUGUUGUGCAAAUUACCUGGCAAAAGAUCCAAAACUCUUUGCCCCAAAAUAUUGGGACUUACAGCAGUAAAUAUGGAGAAAAGAUUCUUCCACCAUACAUAGACCGGCUGCAAUGUAAAGUCAUGGAACCAAAUUCCUCAUUCCUGACUAUCCAAGAAGUGACACUUGAAGAUGAAGCUUGCUACAAAUGUCUCUUUAAUAUGUUUCCGCAUGGCAGUCAUGGAGGGCAAAUCUGCCUUAACAUUAUAACUGUGUCUGAAUUAACUGAACUUCAAUUUAACCCUGACUCUGAAGGUUUUCUUAGACUUACGUAUUCGGCUGUGGGAAAACCUGCUCCUCGAAUCUCUAUCUUUCCCUCACAAGUCCUAAUUAACCCUCCUGAAGAAUGCCUUGCUCAGAACCCAAAUGGCACAGUUACUGUCACUAAAAUGUACACCAUCUCUUUGGAAACUGUGAAGUUCUUGGGACUCCAACACCUGAUUGUGAACAUGGAUCAUCCUUUAAAGAAUGAAGACAAGAUUGUUCCUCUCUCAGUAAAGCAAGAAUGUUCUUCUAGUCCAACAGUGAUAAUCAUUGUACUCACUUCUUUAUGUUUUGUGCUUACCAUCAUUAUCAUCAUUCUUUGUGUUCAAAGAAAGAAAAGCAUACUCUUGCAAUGUCCUGCCAUGAGGGGAAGUGUCUGUGCUGACCAAUGUCAUUGUCCCUUGAGGUCAGAGACUGUGUCUCAACUAUCAUCUCUGAAGCAAUCCCAAGGACCGCUUAGUGAGCCCUUGUCAUUGAGCACAUAGGGAUGGAGAACCCAGGGGCUCACACAUUGUAGGCAGAGUGUUCUAUCGGAGUUACCUCUGACUCUAUGGUUUUAAAGUAAGAGAGCAGAUCUCUUGCAUCCUCUAAAGAUGAUGAAUGAGGUGCUGUUUUAAAAUAUUUUUUUCCUCUGGAAUUUAAAAUGUUCAAUCUUUUGCAGUUUUUUCUUAUGUGUUUUCAAAUUCUAUUGAAAUAAUUCCACUAUAUACCAGUGAGUAUACAUUCAAGUGAAAUGAUACUGUGACAGCAGCAUCAGCAAACAGACAACAGCAAAACGGCCAAUGGACAAGUAACAUUUACAGUGUGGACGGAGUGGGCAAAAGAUGAGCUGUCAUAGGCAGGACAGAGUGAGAUGUCACAAGGUGGCUUCAGGCUUCUUAGAGUGGCAUGCAAAUUUUGAAUUGUUUAUUUCUAGAUUUUUAUUCCCCUCUCUCAUAUUAAUUUUAAAUUUCUCUUUAAAACUUAAAAAAUUAAUCAACAUACAUGAAGGAAUGGACAGCUAUUUUGAGGAGAAUGAGAGACAUUAUGGCAGCCACUGUUGACUUCCCUAUUGUCUGGUCUUGAAGACCUAAAAUGCUUUCAUCACUCUGUUCGGAUCAGUUUUAUACUAUUUUGUUUUGUAUGAAUUCAUUGUAUGUGAAGAUAUGGACAACUAUUUGGAAGAAAACAACAGACAAUAUAAUAGACAGUGAAGAUCUCCGGUUGUCUUGCUUUGAAAUCUGUGUCUCUUACAUUGUUUUCUUCUGAUCUGUUUUGUUAUGUUUAAUUUUACCCUCUUUAAAAAUAAAAUUUUUAAAAAUUUUUUAAAACUUAAAAUUUAAAAAUUUUUUAAUUGAUAUAUAAAAACUUUAUGGAAUCCCAUGUUGUUUUUAUACAUGUAUACACUAUAUAAUGUAAAUCAUAUUAAUCAUAUCCAUCUCCUCAAAGACUUAUCAUUUCUUUAUGGUGAAACUGUUCAAAAAUCCCUUUUGCUAGUUCUUAUGGUUUGUGUCUAGAUGUCCCCCACAGUCUCAUGCAGUCAUGGGGGGUAGGUAGCUGAAUCUAGAAUGUAUGGUGCUAGGAUUAAGGGUAUGUGAUUAGUUAAUCAGCCCACUGAUUGGUUUGGGAUAAGUCUGACUAGAAUUAAGAGUGAGAGUCCUAGGGUGGGUAGCCUGCAUACACUAUAAGGGGCAGAAAGAAGCUUAUCCCCUCUUUCUUGUUAUUUUUGCUUCCUUGUGGACACCAUGAAUUGUUCUCUGAGAUGCCCCUCUGACAAGCCAUCCUGCCUCAGAGCCAGCCAAGUAUGGACUGAAACCUCCACAAACUAUCCAAGAACUCUGGAGCCCGAAUUUUUUUUUAAAAAUCCUCAUUAAUGCAAGCUGAAGAAAACUCCUCAGUAAGGAGAAAAACCAACCACCUCAUGAACGAAGUCAUUACAAAAUUGAUUUCUUGAAUAUAUAAUUUCGAAUUCAAAAUAAUAAAUGUCAGAUUUUUUAAUCUAGAAAAA